AAUCAGUUUACUUUAACACGUUAUCAUGCACUUUGCUCUCCGAUCGAGCGACUCGCAUAGGGAAAGAGAAGAACGAGGAUAAACAGGGCCAAAAAGAAGACAGAGGGUUGAGGAGAAAAAUCGUCCUCACAGACGAAACACCAAGUUCGGUCAAGAACAGAAGAAGAGAAAAGGGGAUCACAUGAAAAAUAACGAGGAUCUCGGCCGCCCCUUCUCCAAGACGAUGAAGCAUUAAUUUAUACAAACACCAAACUCUCGAUCUUAAUUGCUACAUCAUCAGGUGACCAUAUUCCAUUCUUUUUGCUCUUGCACACAAGACGCACUAACC
rnacentral:rRNA from 1 species